rnacentral:rRNA from 1 species
AGCUCCAAUAGCGUAUAUUAAAGUUGUUGCGGUUAAAAAGCUCGUAGUUGGAUUUCUGUCGAAGAAGACCGGUCUACGCUAUGCGUACGUAUCUGGUACUUUUUCGGCAUCCGGAAGUUUAAGGUGCGUCGCUUCACUGCGAUGUCCGUAAGCUUCUCUUUUACUUUGAGGAAAUUAGAGUGUUCACGGCAGGCAAUCGCCCUGAAUACAUUAGCAUGGAAUAAUAAUAUAGGACGUUGGUUCUAUUUUGUUGGUUUCUAGAGCUAACGUAAUGAUUAAUAGGGACAAUUGGGGGCAUUCGUAUUAUCACGUCAGAGGUGGAAUUCUUGGAUUGUGUUACGACGAACUACUGCGAAAGCAUUUGCCAAGGAUGUUUUCA